GAUCACGCUCUGCUCGUGCUCAAAACCCUCAUCGUCCCCACCAGAUCCCUGCCAAAUGCCAAAGGUACGGGAUUCAUUUGACCACCCAGACUGUGCCGAGAGUGCUGUUGGGAAAGGAGAUCAUUCAGCGCACCCUGGGACAUGCCGAGGCAUUCGCACGGAGGAUCACACAGGUUUUGAAGGCAGGAAAGCCCUGAAGAAAGGAAACCCACCGUGUCCUGCAACACCAGAGCUAUAACGAACAGUAUUUCAGAGGAAAGGGUCCCACUGGUCACCAGUCCCCAUUUGUCAUGGACACCCAGGAGGAUGCAUAGCCAACGUGAGAGCCCAGUGCUCUGCAGGCCACUAAAGAGCUCCUAUGAUGGGUGUGUGCGACCCCAGCAAAGGAAUGAGACAGAUCCAGGAUGCAAACAUGGAGAGAUGAAAGCUUAAGGCACGGUGAAUGAAACAGAGGAGACCAGAAAGAAGACCCAGGGAAGUCCGUCAUUUGGGCCAAGGUCAUCCCUGGAUGUUGCUUACACAGGGAACAGUCAGUGACUCAAGUCACAGAAGACCGCGCAGCAGAACCAAGUCAAGUCACCGCAGAAAAUCCCUUGGCCACGUGAAAAUACCUACGGAGCCUCCUAACGCAGAGGAGAACCUCUCCAUCUGCCCUCACACCAGGGGAUCCGAGAUUGGCAGGAUUUACUCGUUUCUGCACUCUGUACUGGAUACACAAACACCACUUUGUCCUUCAAGCUCCUUUCCCUGCCGCACACGUUGGUCUGUACGCAGCCAUCAUUACAUACCACCCAUGGAUUCAAGACAGGGCGCAACACCGGAUUCCCACAGAUAUGUUUCUGUUAAAUACUGAUGAGGAGGGGCAGCAGCCAGGUCGGGUCUGAAGGUCCUACUAAUACAGAUGGGCUGGAAACUGAGUGUAACUGAAGGGGUCCCAGCCCUUCACACCAACAGUCCAGCAAACUCAAAACUCCUCUCAAGCAUGAACUGAAUAUCCAAAUGCCUCCUUUCACACUGCCAGACGCAGACUACCUCAGAGGAGGAAAUCCAUUAAUGCAAUUGAGACAAGCUAGGAAGAAAAGUUUUAGAAAAAAACCACCACUGCCUACUGAAGAGUUGUUUUGCUGUUACAUUAAGAGUAUGCCCGUAGCCCGUCUGAGCAGAACAUCUCCUGAACACCAUCGCAUCUUUCCCCGUUGCUUCACAUGAUCAGAAAUUGCAGUGUGGCCAUGUUUACCCCACUCAAACGCUGGAUGAGGACAUGCCCAGGACACUAGACAGUCCCAGCAGUACACAGCUUUCCAGGCAUGCUGCCUGAUGUACCAAUCGUCUAAGGCUGGAAUAAGUUUUUGGAUGUCAGGAUGUGGUGUCCCACCUAAGCCAGCAUCUCUCCUGACCACGUCAUCAUCUAUAGAAGCAGUGAACCUGGUCUUGGGUGGCUAGGGAGAUGAGACGGGAGAGGCUUCGAGAGCUUUAGAAGGCUGAAAAGGAAGAUGUGUACUACAAAUAUCAGUUUCUUCAUCCUUAGAAAUACAGAAGUCAGUCUGUACUCCCCUUUGAUUGCAGCAGGAGAGGCCGAGGGCUGCAAACAUUGCACUUCAUCCUGACAGCAGCAGCCGGACAACGUUUGCACAUCCGACUCCUGAUGGAGGAGGGCAGGGAGCGGGCACGGGGCAGGAGUAAUCACACUGCCAGCGUUUGAUAUUGCUUCUGCAGAGAAAGGGGAGAGGUCACUACGAGUUUAAUCCCAGCACAGAGGAAGGAUAUUCACGUUCACAUAUCAGAAAAAGCACAUUAAUGCUAUUUACAGACCCUUGCCACUGUAAAACCGCAGAUGCGACUCAGUGGACUCAUGUCUUCUAACGCGCGGGCUAAAUCUAUGUUCACCAAAGUAAUGACAGUUUCUUUCCCAGCGUGCAGAGGACUGUACGAGAUCCACUAUGUCUCCUUUUCCCUGCAGUGUAAUAUUUAAAAAUGGGAACCAAGGCCUAAGCAACAAGCAUCAUCCUUACUCCUGGCUGCUCAUUAGAAAAGGCCAUUUUUAUUUUUUUUUGAAGUAUCAGGUACUUACAUAAUUACAUCACACAGAGCAGAAAAUGAAAAAUAAUUCGAAAUACUCCAUCUACCAGGCCUACAUACUUUAAGCCAUCUCCAUGCUUUUCCUAUUUUAGUUCUCUAAAGAAGAAAAAGGAAAAGCUCAACCCAACCAUCUCGCAGAAGCCAUAUAACUCCCUUUGCAUUGCAUGAAGAUUUGGGGGAUCAUUUAAGUUGAUUUUGAUAUAUAACCUCAUUGCUGGGAUCUGAUUUAUUUUGCACUGCAGAAUGGAACGAAAGUUCUUGAAGGCUGUGAAUGUUCAGAUAGAAAAAAACCCAAAUAAAUAAAUAAAUGAAGCUCUAACCCCAAUCU